CUAGUCUUCGGCUUGUUUAUAUUUUCGGAAGAAAUUGCGGCAUCAAGUUUUCAUGGCUACCCAGCCCCCGAAGUUGCCGUCACGGCUGCCAAGACAGUGCAAUUCUAUAUAACUGGAGAAAUAACCGAGCAAAGAAAACUAGAAUCAACAAUAAGAUAUGUUGGUUCUCUAUCAGGGAUUAUGUUGAAAGUUUGGUUCCAAUAUGUCGAAGGUCUGCAAUCUUAACUUCAAGAAAAUCCAACAUUAUCGAUGGAACAUUGUAGGAUGAAAGAGCCAUCUUGGAGCUAUACAUUCUCUUCUGUUUUAGUGUUUGUUUUGAUCAAAAUAUUGACGGCCUUCUUGAUGUCAUUUGUUUAUACCAUGUUCAUCAGCUAUUGAAAAGAACAAGUUCAGUGGUGUUUUGCAGCAAGGAACACUAAUGUUACAUCUCAAACAAAUUGUUUUAUAGGAAUUACCAACCUAUUUAUCUGAAAUCUUCUUGGCUAGGAGAUUCG